rnacentral:lncRNA from 1 species
GAUAAUGAAUGAUUUUUGUAGAUUUUAAUAUAAUCUUUUUUAAACUGUAUAUGUGCAGCUGCAGACUCAGAGAGCAGGAAUGAACUGGAGGAAGGGGGCGUGGCCUGUUCCGUGAUAGUGUGUGACAUCGAUCCAAAAGUUCCAGGUGUGAGGGAUGGAAAGAAUGAUCCCUGGUCAUGUGACAGCUCUGCAUCUUCCUCUGACAGUGAGGAUGAUGAAGAAGACAAGAAAAAGAAGAAAAAGCUGAAGAAGAAAAGAAGCAAGGGGAAAGGGCUGGAGGGCAGAACCAACACGCACACCCACAGAAAAAGAAGUCCAGCUCAUCUUCCUCAUCAUCAUCUUCCUCGUCAUCCUCAGACAGGGACAGCAGUGAGGAUGAAAAGAAGAAAAAGAAGAAAAUGAAAAUCAGCGAGACUGCAGAGCCGGGGAUUCUCACGUGUGAGUGUGAGUGAGAGUGAGAGUGAGAGUGAGAGUGAGAGAGUGUGUGAGUGUGUGUGUGAGAGAGUGUAUGAGUGUGAGAGUGUGAGAGUGUGAGAGUGUGUGAGUGUGAG